rnacentral:rRNA from 1 species
GACGAACGCUGGCGGCGUGCCUAACACAUGCAAGUCGAGCGGGGUUGAAGCGAGGGGUAACUCGAGUUUCUACCUAGCGGCGGACGGGUGAGUAACGCGUGGGCAACCUGCCUCAAGGACUGGGAUAACAGCUCGAAAGGGCUGCUAAUACCGGAUAAGCCUAUGGCCUCGCAUGGGGCCAUGAGCAAAGGGGAAACCCGCCUUGAGAUGGGCCCGCGUCCCAUCAGCUAGUUGGUGAGGUGAAGGCUCACCAAGGCGACGACGGGUAGCCGGCCUGAGAGGGUGACCGGCCACACUGGGACUGAGACACGGCCCAGACUCCUACGGGGGGCAGCAGUGGGGAAUCUUGCACAAUGGGCGAAAGCCUGAUGCAGCGACGCCGCGUGAGCGAAGAAGGCCUUCGGUUGUAAAGCUCUGUCUGGAGGGACGAAGGAAGUGACGGUACCUCCGGAGGAAGCCACGGCUAACUACGUGCCAGCAGCCGCGGUAAACGUAGCGUG